rnacentral:rRNA from 1 species
GACAGAGGGGGCAAGCGUUGUCCGGAGUUACUGGGCGUAAAGGGCGCGGAGGCGGUCUGCGUCGUCGGCGCUGAAAGCGCCCCGCUUAACGGGGCGAGGCGUGCCGAUACGCUCAGGCUCGAGGCGAGCAGAGGGUGGUGGAAUUCCGGGUGGCGCGGUGAAAUGCGGAGAGAUCCGGAGGAACGCCAGUGGGGACGCCGGCCACCUGGGCUGGGCCUGACGCUGCGGCGCGACAGCGUGGGGAGCAAACCGG